AUGUCUCGACUUAGAUUUGUUUUUGGUAUUGUUUAGAGGCUUUGUGGAUAUUACUGUGCAUUGGGUUAUUAUGAUGGACACAAUUAGUUGUCUUGAGUCUAUUAUCCUCCAUCUUGUUAUAUGUUCGGAUUUCAAUUGCUGCUAGAUGUUAUGAUCUAUUUGGCUAGGAAAAGGGGGUGGUUAUCAAUCCUUGGUGGACUUGAG
rnacentral:lncRNA from 1 species